rnacentral:rRNA from 1 species
AGCGAACGCUGGCGGCAGGCCUAACACAUGCUAGUCGAACGAACUCUUCGGAGUUAGUGGCGGACGGGUGAGUAACACGUGGGAACGUGCCUUUUGGUUCGGAAUAACUCAGGGAAACUUGUGCUAAUACCGAAUGUGCCCUUCGGGGGAAAGAUUUAUCGCCAUUAGAGCGGCCCGCGUCUGAUUAGCUAGUUGGUGAGGUAACGGCUCACCAAGGCGACGAUCAGUAGCUGGUCUGAGAGGAUGACCAGCCACACUGGGACUGAGACACGGCCCAGACUCCUACGGGAGGCAGCAGUGGGGAAUCUUGCGCAAUGGGCGAAAGCCUGACGCAGCCAUGCCGCGUGAAUGAUGAAGGUCUUAGGAUUGUAAAAUUCUUUCACCGGGGACGAUAAUGACGGUACCCGGAGAAGAAGCCCCGGCUAACUUCGUG